rnacentral:rRNA from 1 species
UACAGAGGUCCCAGCGUUGUUCGGAUUCACUGGGCGUAAAGGGUGCGUAGGUGGUCAGGUAAGUCUGAUGUGAAAUCUCUGGGCUCAACCCAGAAACUGCAUUGGAUACUAUCUGGCUAGAGGAGUGGAGGGGGGACUGAAAUACUUGGUGUAGCAGUGAAAUGCGUAGAUAUCAAGUGGAACACCAGUGGCGAAGGCGAGUCCCUGGACACUUCCUGACACUGAGGCACGAAAGCUAGGGAGCAAACAGG